rnacentral:rRNA from 1 species
UCUGGUUACGAUACGUUUGAGGGAAACACCCGUUCCCAUUCCGAACACGAUGGUUAAGCCUCAUUCGGCCGACAAUUCUACGCUGGUAACGGCGUGGUAAGAUAGGUGGUAGCCAGUU